GACGAACGCUGGCGGCGUGCUUAACACAUGCAAGUCGAACGGUGAAGCGAGUGCUUGCACUCGUGGACCAGUGGCGAACGGGUGAGUAACACGUGAGUAACCUGCCCAUCUCUCUGGGAUAAGCACUGGAAACGGUGUCUAAUACUGGAUACGACCAACCCUUGCAUGGGGUGUUGGUGGAAAGAUUUAUCGGUGAUGGAUGGACUCGCGGCCUAUCAGCUUGUUGGCGGGGUAAUGGCCCACCAAGGCGACGACGGGUAGCCGGCCUGAGAGGGUGACCGGCCACACUGGGACUGAGACACGGCCCAGACUCCUACGGGAGGCAGCAGUGGGGAAUAUUGCACAAUGGGCGAAAGCCUGAUGCAGCGACGCCGCGUGAGGGAUGACGGCCUUCGGGUUGUAAACCUCUUUCAGCAGGGAAGAAGCGAAAGUGACGGUACCUGCAGAAGAAGCACCGGCUAACUACGUG
rnacentral:rRNA from 1 species